AGCAUUGCAGAGGUACAGUAUCAUAGCCAAUGAGGCUAACCCAAGGCACAAUUAUUGCUAAUUGAAAAGAUAAUGAAUAACUUUCUGUUUAGAGUUUUAAACAGAAACUUAUAAAAAAAUCUGUAG
rfam:Anolis carolinensis chromosome 1, whole genome shotgun sequence.